AUGGGGGAGCAGACCGCCAACCUCGCCGCGCUCAUGGAGACGCUGCUCUCCAGAUUUGACAAAGAAAAGGUGCUCACUGACAAGAGGGCCGAGGCGCAGACGACGUUCAACACCCAAGUGUCCCACGAACUACAGAGCUUGGCCAAGAAAAUCGGCCUCACCCAGGCGGACGUGAAUGACAUACGUAAAGUUGGCACACCAUCAGCGUCGUCAGCCCCCUCCUCGGGUUCUCAGGUGGACGAUCCAUCGGCGGCGGUGUUGCACACCCCGGCAGGGUGGACUGCACCACCACCACCACCACCAUCGAUUGUGCGUGUCGCGCCGCCUCCGAGCGCCUUGUCAAUUCCGCAGAGCAUCAUAGGCUCCGGGCCGCUCGCACGGCUCUCCAAUGACGGUCCGCUGCUGCUCUCCCGACCAGAUGACGCCCUCAGGUUGCCGGAGAGCGGACCACAGCCUGUGCCGCGUGAGGACUACUCCAGCAGGCCACCCCGUUUUGAAGGUGACGCCCCACACGUGUGCCUGGAUCACUGCUUAGCCUAUUUUGAGCUCUAUCGAGUGCCACAACAUAACUGGGUGGCCACGACAGCCCUAUACGUCGAGGGCCAUGCUGCUCUCUGGUUGCGGGCGUUCCGAUAG
rnacentral:rRNA from 1 species